rnacentral:lncRNA from 1 species
UCGUUGCCUUCUGAAAAUUGCAGUCAAGUGAAUUCGGAAAAAGAAACCUUCAUCGCAGCCCAUAAUAUCAUUUUAUCACAUGCAACAGCUGCUGAUAUCUACAGGAAAAAGUAUCAGGUAUCUAUCAAAUUUUCAAACAUGAUUGAGUCAUUUUAUCACAAUGGCUCCAAAUUAGAGAUUUAUAACUCGGGUUCGAGUUAAGUCUAACCCCGUCUCACCAAAGAAGCAGUUGGAAUCUAAUUAAAACAUCUCCAUAGGCAAGGUGUGAAUUGAGUACUGAUUUAUGAAGGAACAGCUUCAUGAAAAUUAAUCAUAAAACAGAACUUGUCAAGAAAUAGUGAACUCACCAUCUUAGUGAACAUCCAGGAAAAGCAAGGCGGCAGCAUUGGGAUUGUUUUACAUGCUCUGUGGUUUGAACCCAUAAGCAACUCCACAGCUGAUAAAUUAGCAGCUGAAAGAGCCUGGUCCUUCUUUUUUAACUGGUAAGCUUCUUCACCUUACUUUCUGCUGAUUCUCCAUAGAAGCAUUCAACAUAACUAAAGAGGUUUAUCGCUGACAUACCUUGACAUAUGGCACGAAUUUAACUAAAAUUGAAUGCAGGUUCUUGGACCCAAUUAUAUUUGGGAAAUACCCGUCAGAGAUGGAGAACAUUAUUGGAUCACUAUUGCCACAAUUUUCAAGCAAAGAAUUAGAUAAACUAAGGGCAGGCUUGGAUUUCAUCGGCAUCAAUCAAUAUACAGGUGUAUAUGUUCAAGACUGCCUUUACUCUGUGUGUGAACCAGGAACCGGAGCGUCCAAGGUUGAAGGAUUUGCCCAACAAAGCAAAGAAAAAGAUGGUGUCCCCAUUGGAGAACGUGUAUGUGAUCACAAUUAAUCACCAUCAUUACAAACUUAUUAUAUCACUAUCUGUAUAAUCAGAUGCUGAAGUGUUUUGACAUUGCAGACGGAUGUGGAGUGGCAAUAUAUAUAUCCUCCAGGAAUGCAGAAGAGUGUCAACUAUGUAAAAGAGAGAUACAAUAACACGCCCAUGUUCAUCACAGAAAAUGGUAAGUUAUCAUCUUACCAGUUUAAGUUUUGAACGUUGACUUCCCCUCAAAUUCUGAUAUUUGUGUAAUGUAACAAAACAUGCAGGGCUUGGUGAGAUGCACAGUCCAAACUCCCCCAUUGAGAACUUUCUUAAUGACGUUAGAAGAGAGAAGUUUAUGGCCGACUACUUGGAUUCCCUGCAGACAUCAAUGAGGUAAGAACAUGCAAAUAUGCUUAAUACUAGCAAGCAACCAUUAAAAAAAAGCUAUUAUCCUAGUAAACUUUAUUCAACCAUUAAUUGCUUACCUCAUUAAUUAAUUUCCUUUUACAAAAUGCAUCAACAUAGCAUGUUUAGUUUUCCAGUUCAUAUUUCAGACACUCAUGACUCAUUUCUUCUUAAAGCAACUUCCUGUCAAAAAACUACAAAUGCUUUCAGGGAGACAUCUAACACAAAUCAUACUUGUUUUGUCUACUUUCCUGGAUGCCAUCAGAGAAGGUGCAGAUGUGCGGGGUUACUUUGCCUGGUCCUUGCUAGACAACUUUGAAUGGAGAUUUGGAUAUACUGUAAGGUUUGGACUUCACCAUGUUGAUUAUGCUACACAGAGAAGA